rnacentral:sRNA from 1 species
GCUGCAGCAAAAUCUGCAGCCGGGAUUGGAACCCCGAAUAACCAGACGACGCACAGCACGCGCCAGCGUGUUUUUU